UGUAAGGACGCUUACAUCGGGAGUGACUGAAUAAACUUACUGGCAUAUAGCUGGUUAAGGUGAUGAGACACAGGUGGUGCUGCUUCUUCGGAAGAAUCGACUUACCAGUCGGGUCUUAGGCAGAGACGUUUUUCUAAUCUGUAGAAAUGCCCGUCUCUUGUUGGUAUACAGGAUUCCAACCUCCCUCUCU
rnacentral:ncRNA from 1 species